AGAGUUUGAUCCUGGCUCAGGACGAACGCUGGCGGCGUGCUUAACACAUGCAAGUCGAACGGGCCUGCCUGGCUUUGGUUGGGUGGGUGAGUGGCGAACGGGUGAGUAACACGUGAGUAACCUGCCCUCUUCUCUUGGAUAACUGCUUGAAAGGGCGGCUAAUACGGGAUGUUCUGGCUGCCUCGCAUGGGGUGGUUUGGAAAGAUUCGGCCUGGUUUUGGUUGUUUUGGUGGGGGAUGGGCUCGCGGCUUAUCAGCUUGUUGGUGGGGUGAUGGCCUACCAAGGCGGUGACGGGUAGCCGGCCUGAGAGGGUGGACGGUCACACUGGGACUGAGACACGGCCCAGACUCCUGCGGGAGGCAGCAGUGGGGGAUUUUGCACAAUGGGCGCAAGCCUGAUGCAGCGACGCCGCGUGAGGGAUGGAGGCCUUCGGGUUGUGAACCUCUGUCGCCGGUGAUGUAGGCUCUGCUUUGUGGGUGGGGUUGACGGUAGCCGGGGUAUGAAGUGCCGGCUAACUACGUGCCAGCAGCCGCGGUAAUACGUAGGGCGCGAGCGUUGUCCGGAAUUAUUGGGCGUAAAGAGCUCGUAGGCGGCUGGUCGCGUCUGUCGUGAAAUCCUCUGGCUUAACUGGGGGCGUGCGGUGGGUACGGGCCGGCUUGAGUGCGGUAGGGGAGGCUGGAAUUCCUGGUGUAGCGGUGGAAUGCGCAGAUAUCAGGGGGAACACCGGUGGCGAAGGCGGGUCUCUGAGCCGUGUACUGACGCU
rnacentral:rRNA from 1 species